UCUUCCAUAAUGCACAUCUCUAUCACUCUACUCCUACCUCAAUUUCUCCACUCCUAUAACUCCAUCUCUGUAUCUCUUGAAAGGCAGAUCUGCAAUCCAAAACCGCAGACCAGCGAUGGACAACAACAACUUGAUGUUCCGAUUAAAUUAGCAAGGUCUACAAAAGGGUUUUGUUGGAAGACGAAGAACAAUGAACUGAAAUAAUACUACGGACGACUGGACUAUGUACUCAUCACCGCAGAUUUACAGUUAAAAUGGAGUUUCUACCUACAUUAGGAGUUCAUUCCUCAAUUAGGAUGUAAAUUUCUGAAGAAUUUUGUAUUAAGUUGGCGUAAAGCUCAAAAAUUGCCCAAACUGACGAAAUUUAAAAUUUGUCUAACAAACUGAAGUUGAUUUCAGUUUGUAGCUACAAUAGAAGGUAGAACUUAUCCCCUAUCUCUAUGGUAGGAUUACUUAGCAGGAUUGUAGAAGUUCUUCUAAUGUCAGGGCAGUCAAUAUUAAAGUGAAUUUGAGUGACAUCAUAGGAAGAGCAGAUUUUUACAUCACCAUCUGAUUGCAUCUGCGUAUGUUAGUAGAGUCUACAGAACUGGAUCAAAACAUACAGAGGAUCAUUACCAGGAGAUUGAUAGAAAGGCUCAAUCUUUGCAACAUGUUCAUCCCAGAAUGUGCAGAUUCAUGAAGCACAUUUAAGCCGAGAAAAUACUUACCUCUUCGUCGUGAAAGACUACCUCUUUGCUCUUGAUCUCAGGAGACCCUCUCUUUCCAUUACGCAAUCCGUACGCAUCACUCGUAGCUUCAUAGCACUGCGUCUGUUGAAGGUAGUUAAAUGGUUGGCGAGACAAUACAUCCCCAUGAUAGAAAUCAGUUGUGCAGCAGAAUGCAAAAGCUAAAAUUGGAGAAUGUAUCUGUAUCUGUAUCUAGCUUAAUAUAACAUGUUAUAUAUAUGUGAGAUGUAGAUGUCUAGAAGUGAAAGAGUUCUAAAUGACCUGUAAUAAUGAGUGCCUUGAUACUCUAAUCGUUAAUGACGACUAAUCUCAAUAUGACUUUAAAUAAUGGUGAGCGUGAAGCAGUGCUAUAAUGGUUCAUUGAUACUCGAAUCGUUAGUGACGAUUAGGUUUCCUAUUGAAUUUCCCGAAAAUCGUUUCCGGCAAUUUGAAAAUAACUUGAUGUAAUUGGAUCCUUGUAAACGUCGCCGUUUAAUGUUUGCCCGUUGGUUAAACCUAAUUACAUUAAGCAGUGCUUAUCAUACAAAGUUGAA